rnacentral:rRNA from 1 species
UUAAGCGACUAAGCGUACACGGUGGAUGCCCUGGCAGUCAGAGGCGAUGAAGGACGUGCUAAUCUGCGAAAAGCGUCGGUAAGGUGAUAUGAACCGUUAUAACCGGCGAUGUCCGAAUGGGGAAACCCAGUGCAAUUCGUUGCACUAUCGUUAACUGAAUACAUAGGUUAACGAGGCGAACCGGGGGAACUGAAACAUCUAAGUACCCCGAGGAAAAGAAAUCAACCGAGAUUCCCCCAGUAGCGGCGAGCGAACGGGGAGCAGCCCAGAGUCUGAAUCAGCUUGUGUGUUAGUGGAACGGUCUGGAAAGUCCGACGGUACAGGGUGAUAGUCCCGUACACCAAAAUGCACAGGCUGUGAACUCGAAGAGUAGGGCGGGACACGUGGUAUCCUGUCUGAAUAUGGGGGGACCAUCCUCCAAGGCUAAAUACUCCUGACUGACCGAUAGUGAACCAGUACCGUGAGGGAAAGGCGAAAAGAACCCCGGCGAGGGGAGUGAAAAAGAACCUGAAACCGUGUACGUACAAGCAGUGGGAGCACCUUCGGGUGUGACUGCGUACCUUUUGUAUAAUGGGUCAGCGACUUAUAUUCUGUAGCAAGGUUAACCGUAUAGGGGAGCCGCAGGGAAACCGAGUCUUAACUGGGCGUUAAGUUGCAGGGUAUAGACCCGAAACCCGGUGAUCUAGCCAUGGGCAGGUUGAAGGUUGGGUAACACUAACUGGAGGACCGAACCGACUAAUGUUGAAAAAUUAGCGGAUGACUUGUGGCUGGGGGUGAAAGGCCAAUCAAACCGGGAGAUAGCUGGUUCUCCCCGAAAGCUAUUUAGGUAGCGCCUCGUGAACUCAUCUUCGGGGGUAGAGCACUGUUUCGGCUAGGGGGUCAUCCCGACUUACCAACCCGAUGCAAACUACGAAUACCGAAGAAUGUUAUCACGGGAGACACACGGCGGGUGCUAACGUCCGUCGUGAAGAGGGAAACAACCCAGACCGCCAGCUAAGGUCCCAAAGUCAUGGUUAAGUGGGAAACGAUGUGGGAAGGCACAGACAGCCAGGAUGUUGGCUUAGAAGCAGCCAUCAUUUAAAGAAAGCGUAAUAGCUCACUGGUCGAGUCGGCCUGCGCGGAAGAUGUAACGGGGCUAAACCAUGCACCGAAGCUGCGGCAGCGACACGAUGUGUUGUUGGGUAGGGGAGCGUUCUGUAAGCCUGCGAAGGUGACCUGUGAGGGUUGCUGGAGGUAUCAGAAGUGCGAAUGCUGACAUAAGUAACGAUAAAGCGGGUGAAAAGCCCGCUCGCCGGAAGACCAAGGGUUCCUGUCCAACGUUAAUCGGGGCAGGGUGAGUCGACCCCUAAGGCGAGGCCGAAAGGCGUAGUCGAUGGGAAACAGGUUAAUAUUCCUGUACUUGGUGUUACUGCGAAGGGGGGACGGAGAAGGCUAUGUUAGCCGGGCGACGGUUGUCCCGGUUUAAGCAUGUAGGCUGGUUAUCCAGGCAAAUCCGGAUAAUCAAGGCUGAGGUGUGAUGACGAGGCACUACGGUGCUGAAGUAACAAAUGCCCUGCUUCCAGGAAAAGCCUCUAAGCAUCAGGUAACAUCAAAUCGUACCCCAAACCGACACAGGUGGUCAGGUAGAGAAUACCAAGGCGCUUGAGAGAACUCGGGUGAAGGAACUAGGCAAAAUGGUGCCGUAACUUCGGGAGAAGGCACGCUGGUGUGUAGGUGAAGUCCCUGCGGAUGGAGCUGAGACCAGUCGAAGAUACCAGCUGGCUGCAACUGUUUAUUAAAAACACAGCACUGUGCAAACACGAAAGUGGACGUAUACGGUGUGACGCCUGCCCGGUGCCGGAAGGUUAAUUGAUGGGGUUAUCCGUAAGGAGAAGCUCUUGAUCGAAGCCCCGGUAAACGGCGGCCGUAACUAUAACGGUCCUAAGGUAGCGAAAUUCCUUGUCGGGUAAGUUCCGACCUGCACGAAUGGCGUAAUGAUGGCCAGGCUGUCUCCACCCGAGACUCAGUGAAAUUGAACUCGCUGUGAAGAUGCAGUGUACCCGCGGCAAGACGGAAAGACCCCGUGAACCUUUACUAUAGCUUGACACUGAACAUUGAGCCUUGAUGUGUAGGAUAGGUGGGAGGCUUUGAAGCGUGGACGCCAGUCUGCGUGGAGCCAACCUUGAAAUACCACCCUUUAAUGUUUGAUGUUCUAACGUUGGCCCCUUACCGGGGUUGCGGACAGUGUCUGGUGGGUAGUUUGACUGGGGCGGUCUCCUCCCAAAGCGUAACGGAGGAGCACGAAGGUUAGCUAAUCCUGGUCGGACAUCAGGAGGUUAGUGCAAUGGCAUAAGCUAGCUUGACUGCGAGCGUGACGGCGCGAGCAGGUGCGAAAGCAGGUCAUAGUGAUCCGGUGGUUCUGAAUGGAAGGGCCAUCGCUCAACGGAUAAAAGGUACUCCGGGGAUAACAGGCUGAUACCGCCCAAGAGUUCAUAUCGACGGCGGUGUUUGGCACCUCGAUGUCGGCUCAUCACAUCCUGGGGCUGAAGUAGGUCCCAAGGGUAUGGCUGUUCGCCAUUUAAAGUGGUACGCGAGCUGGGUUUAGAACGUCGUGAGACAGUUCGGUCCCUAUCUGCCGUGGGCGCUGGAGAAUUGAGGGGGGCUGCUCCUAGUACGAGAGGACCGGAGUGGACGCAUCACUGGUGUUCGGGUUGUCAUGCCAAUGGCACUGCCCGGUAGCUAAAUGCGGAAGAGAUAAGUGCUGAAAGCAUCUAAGCACGAAACUUGCCCCGAGAUGAGUUCUCCCUGAGACUUUAAGUCUCCUGAAGGAACGUUGAAGACGACGACGUUGAUAGGCCGGGUGUGUAAGCGCAGCGAUGCGUUGAGCUAACCGGUACUAAUGAACCGUGAGGCUUAACCUU